AUGAACCGCGGCGAACCCUCAGACGACCCUUCUAAGAUAAGGGGGGAGAUCCUCAGUAGUGGUGACCCUUUGACUCUUCCACUCACUUAUAUAUGGGGGUUGCUCCGAUAAAAAAUCCUUUCUUUCUCGUCCACUCUAGGGGGUGCGGACACACCUGCGCGGAUUACAGGUGACGGUUACAAGAAUGGCGGGGAAGUGAAGAGUACCCGACGACAUUCAGGGAUGAAUGUAGACCCAUCGGGCGGGGAUAAUCAUUCCGGUCCUGGGAGAGGUGGCGACACCAGUCUGAGCUGA
rnacentral:rRNA from 1 species